rnacentral:sRNA from 1 species
UACAAUCUUGCCUAAAUUGUGUUUAUUGACAGUUAACAAACUAUAAUUUACUUUAUUUUUUAAUCGUUUUGUUGAAAAUAAUUUUGCUGGAUCAAAAAUCUUUACAACAAAAAAAUUUUAAAUUAAACAAAUGAUGUCAAUUAGUGACAUAAGCUGACCAACACACACGGCAGAAGAAAAUAAUUCUUGGUGAUAAUGCUGAACGCAACUGACAUCAGGUAUUUGGACACAGCAAUUUUUGAUGGAUCAUUUGGCAGCUAUCCAAAGAUUUCCUUGUUACAAAAGAUUUUUCUUUACUAAACAUAUAUUUUAAACAAAUAAAUUAAAAUUUAAACUAAUUGUGAUAUCUAA